rnacentral:rRNA from 1 species
CGCGGCCUAUCAGCUUGUUGGUGGGGUAAAGGCCUACCAAGGCGACGACGGGUAGCCGGCCUGAGAGGGCGACCGGUCACACUGGGACUGAGACACGGCCCAGACUCCUACGGGAGGCAGCAGUAGGGAAUAUUGCGCAAUGGACGAAAGUCUGACGCAGCAACGCCGCGUGAGGGAUGAAGUACAUCGAGAUGUAAACCUCUUUCAGCAGGGACGAAGCUAACGUGACGGUACCUGCAGAAGAAGCACCGGCUAACUACGUGCCAGCAGCCGCGGUAAUACGUAGGGUGCAAGCGUUGUCCGGAUUUAUUGGGCGUAAAGGGCUCGUAGGCGGUCUGUCGCGCCGGAUGUGAAAACUCGGAGCUUAACUCCGGGCCUGCAUUCGAUACGGGCAGACUAGAGUUCGGUAGGGGAGACUGGAAUUUCUGGUGUAGCGGUGGAAUGCGCAGAUAUCAGGAAGAACACCGAUGGCGAAGGCAGGUCUCUGGGCCGACACUGACGCUGAGGAGCGAAAGCAUGGGGAGCGAACAGGAUUAGAUACCCUGGUAGUCCAUGCCGUAAACGGUGGGCGCUAGGUGUGGGGAAUAAUCUACAUUCUCCACGCCGCAGCUAACGCAUUAAGCGCCCCGCCUGGGGAGUACGG